rnacentral:rRNA from 1 species
GAUGAACGCUGGCGGCGUGCCUAACACAUGCAAGUCGAGCGAACAGACGAGGAGCUUGCUCCUCUGACGUUAGCGGCGGACGGGUGAGUAACACGUGGAUAACAUAACUAUAAGACUGGGAUAACUUCGGGAAACCGGAGCUAAUACCGGAUAAUAUAUUGAACCGCAUGGUUCAAUAGUGAAAUACGGUUUUGCUGUCACUUAUAGAUGGAUCCGCGCCGCAUUAGCUAGUUGGUAAGGUAACGGCUUACCAAGGCAACGAUGGGUAGCCGACCUGAGAGGGUGGUAGGCCACAUUGUAACUGAGCCACGGUCAAGACUCCUACGGGAGGGAGCAGUAGGGAAUCUUCCGCAAUGGGCGAGAGCCUGACGCAGCGACGCGGCGUGAGUGAUGACGGUCUUCUGAUCGUAAAACUCUGUUAUUAGGGAGAAACCAAUGUGUUAGUAGCUGUGCAGGUCUUGACGGUACCUAAUCAAAAAGCCCCGGCUAACUACGUG